rnacentral:lncRNA from 1 species
AUAUAAUCAAAGGAUUAAUGGUUAUUGCAGUCAAUAAGAACUGUAAAAACUACAAUUCGCAAGCUGCAUACUACAUAUGUUUUUAUUAUUUAAUAAAAAAAGAGUUUGAUAAAUGCUUUCAAUAUGUUAAUAUUUUUGCAUAUAAAGGAAUGUUUAAGGUUUGGAAAGUAGAAUGGUUUAGUCAGGAUUUUUAUUUGUUAUAUUGUAGAAGAAAACAGAAAUCAGAAUUCUGUGUAAUAAAAUAUUGUAAUAUAAUUUUAGAGCUAAGUAAAAGUAUAUUAAAAAAAUUACUAUGCACAAUAAAUGAACAAAUAGGUUCUGAAAAAAAGAAACUAUCAGAGUGUAUGAAUAAAAAAAUGUUGCUUUAUUCAAGAAUUAUAAAUUGUUUAGUCCGACGUAGCAUAUGUAGCGUGGUAGAAAAGGAUGUUAAAAAAGGUAGUGACAAUAGAACUACUGCCCAAAAUAACAAAUUAGUUGACAGUAAAAAAAAUAAUAACAAACGAGACGUACAAAGUGAUAUGAACAAACAUUUAAAAAGAAAAUACAACAGUUUUGAUAAUAGUAUUUAUAAAAACUUAAUUACAAGUAUAAACAAAUCAAGUGAUGUAAAAAAUAUGUUGAAUAUUGUUAAUGAUAUUGACAAAUAUAACACAAUCAUAGUUAAUAGUAAUAAGAGUAAUGAAUUUAAGAAAAUUUUAAAAGACGACAUACAAACAGAUAAUGAUUAUGUAGUGAAUACAAACGGAUGGAAAUAUUUAGGAUUCAAACAGCUAGAUCAUUUAAAUAAUAUGUAUUACAUAAUAAAUAUUUUAUUUGAUAUUUAUUUACACAUAGGUAAAAACAUGAAAAAACUAAAUGACCAUGAAACAUUAGAAAAUGCUACGUAUGUGUUUGAUUAUAAUAUAUCUAGUUAUAAUGUCAUAUUUGCAAUGAUAGCAGAGCACUUGGGUUUUAUUUUUGAAGUAUUAUGUUAUUUUACUCCUUAUGCUUUGGUGUAUCCGUUACUUUUAGUAUUUGGAGUGAAUCAUGAUGAGUAUGAUAGUCCUGCAACUUCUCCUACUCAUGCCCAUACAGAGAGUAAUAUAGCUAAAAGCAAUACUAACAAUGAAAAUGAAAAGAGAAAGAAACAACGUAGUCCUGUUAUGUCUACACAAUGUAAUAAAUAUUGUAGCCAAUAUAUACAUUUACAAAAAGCAAUGCUUAAAGAAGAGUUGUUAUACAAUAGUUCUACUGCUUUAAUCGAUUCAAGAAUUUUGGGGUUACUAAAAGAUAUGAUUUGUACUAAAAUAGUAACAGCCCCUAUACAUAUAGCAUCUAGAUUGAAUGCAGUUUUUAUUAUAAUCUGUAAUAAAUUAUUUUAUUACCAAAAAAGUGAGCAUGCAAUGAUAGAAGAUGUUAUUAAAAGUGGUAUUGGUAACAACUGUGAUAAUCCUGCGAACUACAAUGACGCUAGUACAACCUGUUCUAAUAUCAACAAAAACUGCAAUACAAAUACAAGUUGUGAUAAAGCAAGUAAAGUAAAAGGUGUCAUAGCAUUUGCUCAUAAGGUGCUACGAAAUGAAUCAAAAAUAUCUAUGGCCCGGUUUUUGCAUCUUAUAGACACAGAAAAUCUAGAUGAAACUAAAAUGUAUUCCAAAUAUGAAUAUAUAAAAUUUUUAAUAAAUAAUUUGUCAUAUUAUAAAAAUUGCAAAAAUGUAGAUAAUGGUAACCAGAAACUGCAGUUAUACUCUAGUUCCGAUGAUGUACAUGUAGAUAAUACUGUUUUUAAUAAAGAAAAAAAUAUUUGUGCAGUGAAUCAUUCGCGUAAACGACAGAAUAAACCGGUAGGUACUAAUGAAAGUGGUGUAAGUAAAACUGUUGGCACUUCUAGUAUAAGUGCUGUUACUUCUAGUAUAAGUGCUGUUACUUCUAGUAUAAGUGCUGUUACUUCUAGUAUAAGUGCUGUUACUUCUAGUAUAAGUGCUGCUACUUCUAGUACAAGCAAAAGUGCCAGCAUCAUCAAAAACAACAAAUUACAAAUAGUGUUAUAUUAUAUUAAAUUACAAAAUGAUACUGUUAUAUGUAUAUAUGAUGAUUAUAAAGUAUUUAACCUUAUCAAAACCAAAACACAAGGUAUGUGUUGUGCUUCUUCUGUACUAAUGAAUGUUAAAACAAAACUAAAAAGGCAAAUUAAUAAAAAUAUAAAUCAAAAUAAAAACGAUAGCUCACUAAAACAGGAUGUGGCAGAUUCAAUUAAUCAAAGAGAUUUACGAAGAACCAAUAGAGACAAAAGUAAAAAUUUGUGAGUUUCUCUCUUGCUAAAAAAAAAAAAAAAAAAUGAAUCCAAAUAAAUAAGUUCAUACAAAAAUAACA